rnacentral:rRNA from 1 species
GGCGGCAUGCCUUACACAUGCAAGUCGAACGGCAGCGGACCUUCGGGUGCCGGCGAGUGGCGAACGGGUGAGUAAUAUAUCGGAACGUACCUUUCAGUGGGGAUAACGUAGCGAAAGUUACGCUAAUACCGCAUAUUCUGUGAGCAGGAAAGCAGGGGAUCGCAAGACCUUGCGCUGAUUGAGCGGCCGAUAUCAGAUUAGCUAGUUGGUGAGGUAAAGGCUCACCAAGGCGACGAUCUGUAGCGGGUCCGAGAGGAUGAUCCGCCACACUGGAACUGAGACACGGUCCAGACUCCUACGGGAGGCAGCAGUGGGGAAUUUUGGACAAUGGGCGCAAGCCUGAUCCAGCCAUGCCGCGUGAGUGAAGAAGGCCUUCGGGUUGUAAAGCUCUUUCAGCCGGGAAGAAAACGCAUGGGUUAAUACCCUGUGUGGAUGACGGUACCGGAAUAAGAAGCACCGGCUAACUACGUG